CGAAAAAUACGCUCAUUAUCUUGCGUGCGACUACAUUGUAUUUCUUUUACGGCUUCGGCGACUGCUUCCUGUCGAGAAAUCAAGAUCGAAAAGAAAACCUUCUCAGAAACUGAUAUCACGUCUCAAGUCUCUUUUAAAAGGAGUUUCUCGUUGAUAUCAAAAUGAAAACCAUUGAACGUCUGCUUCUUAUCUGGAUGAUGGCAUCUGUAGUAGAAGGUCAAUCCCCAUGUUCAUUGGCUAAAAACUUUUGGAUAGUAAAUAGCAGCGGUGAAUUCAUAAAAUGCAGACCGUGCCCAGACUGCCCUGAGGGUCUCGGGCUGAACAUUCAAUGUGGCUCAUCGAUCACGAUCACACGUCAUACUAAGAUAGAAUGUGUCCAGUGUAAAGAAACAAAGACCUACUCCGAUAGCCAUGGAGUGGAAAGCUGCAAACCCUGUCAGAACUGCGGUCGACGAAAUGUCCUUCAAGAAUGCACCUCGGUCCAAAAUCGCAAAUGCGGCCGUAAAUGUCCCAAAGGGUAUUUCUUUGAUGGCCACAUCACUGAUUGCAGAGAAACUGCCCCAGCAAUAAUCUCAACCACGACUUUGUCAAUAGAGCCUACUCCUAGUAUCUGGCCACAACUUUCAUCUCCUAUUGGCGGUGGCUCGUCUACAGCAAUUACAGCGUCUAUGAAAGUUUUAUUUUCAAUAAAAAGUGCUACCUCGACAAGUAUAGCGUCGGCUCCAAGCAUAAAGCCACAGCGUUCAUCGCUGAUAAGCUUUUCGUCUGCAGAAAUUCCAGGGUCUGCUGAAGUUCCACCGUUAGUAGGAAACCGUUCCGCUCCAAGCGUAGAAUUCACACAGGGCAUCAUGCCACAACCAUCGUCGUUGUAUCGUGGAAUUGUAUCAACUUCGAUUCCUGAAGGUGUAGAACUUCCAAUACUAAAAGGAAACGACGCCUCUGCAAGUUUCUCGGAAAAAAAAGAGACUCAGGGACGAAAAAGCAAAGCUUUGACACUGUUGAUUAUAUUGGGAAUAAGAGGAGCGAUAGUUUUGAUCGUCAUUUUUACACCGCCUGCAGUACUUUGCUGGAUGAAAUUCAGAAUGUUUAAGAAGACAAGGCCAGAACAUGAAGAUCCUGCUAGAAUACCACUAAACCCCUUACGAGUCACUGAGAAUUCACCAAGCUGUUCUUUGCUGGACUUCAAGCUCGCCGACUUUCCAUAUGAUGUCGAGGAUUUUAUUCUGCAACUAGAUUCUGAUUCCUCGCCAGUUCAAAAGAACUGGAGACAUGUCGCUCACAGGUUUGAAAUUUCCAAACAAGACAUUCAGCUGUUGGAGACAGAGAGCAGGAAGCCAGGAGUCAGCGCAAUAAGGCUUUUGAUUGAAAAGUUGUGCAGUUUCAAAUGUACGACUCUAAAAGAGUUCGUAGACGUCCUCCAGGAGCUGGAACGCAACGAUGUUGCCAACGACAUUAUCAGCUGGUUUAGGCAAAAACAGGAUAGAUGUUCAGAGGAGGAUAAAAAUUGACAAUACCCAAAGCUUGUUGGAUUUUUCAUAGACAUCCUAUACCACGCAUGGACUCUAAGAACAAUGACAAUUGAUAAUAAUUAAGUCGGUCUUGUAAAUAACGUGUAACUGAUUUUGUGUAUUUAGAGGAAUCAAAAUAGUGUAAACAUAUUUUUGGAAAGGAAAUUUUUGUAUUGAAAUUUAUA